rnacentral:rRNA from 1 species
CCAGUAGGCGGCCAACUAAGUCCGACGUGAAAUCCCAAAGCUUAACUUUGGAACUGCGUCGGAUACUGGAUGGCUUGAAUUCGGGAGAGGGAUGCAGAAUUCCAGGUGUAGCGGUGAAAUGCGUAGAUAUCUGGAGGAAUACCGGUGGCGAAGGCGGCAUCCUGGACCGACAUUGACGCUGAACGGCGAAAGCUAGGGAGCAAACG